AAGGAGAAGUCGUAACAAGGUUUCCGUAGGUGAACCUGCGGAAGGAUCAUUGUCGAACCUGCAUUAUGCAAAAACUCGGUGCAUUGCAUCGUGUCGGCGAGUGUAUUCGAUAAGUCAUAACGACUCUCGGCAACGGAUAUCUCGGCUCUCGCAUCGAUGAAGAACGUAGCAAAAUGCGAUACGUGGUGUGAAUUGCAGGAUCCCGUGAACCAUCGAGUUUUUGAACGCAAGUUGCGCCCGAAGCCUUUAGGCCGAGGGCACGUCUGCCUGGGCGUCACGCACCGUUGCCCCCCAAACCCCCUCAGUCCUCCACGGAGGAUUGGCGAGGCGCGUGGGGGGCGUAAAGUGGCUUCCCGUCGGCUUUGUCCCGCGGUUGGCCUAAAAAUGAAUCCCUAGCCGCGGUGCGCGCGGCAUUCGGUGGUCAUCGAUCCCUUUCGUUACCCCGCCGCGCGCUCACGUGCCGCGAAGGAUGUCACACUAGUAAACCCGACGCCUCGCUUUGUGAAGAGCGGAGCUUACAACGCGACCCCAGGUCAGGCGGGGCUACCCGCUGAA
rnacentral:rRNA from 1 species